AUUGAACGCUGGCGGCAGGCUUAACACAUGCAAGUCGAACGAGUGGCGGACGGGUGAGUAAUGCUUGGGAAUCUACCUUAUGGAGGGGGAUACCUACGGGAAACUGUAGCUAAUACCGCGUACCAUAGGAUGAGCCCAAGUGGGAUUAGGUAGUUGGUGGGGUCACUGCUCACCAAGCCGACGAUCUCUAGCUGGUCUGAGAGGAUGACCAGCAAAACUGGAACUGAGACACGGCCCAGACUCCUACGGUAGGCAGCAGUGGGGAAUAUUGCGCAAUGGGCGCAACCUGAUGCAGCCAUGCCGCGUGUAUGAAGAAGGCCUUCGGGUUGUAAAGUACUGUCAGUAGCGAGGCGUUAACUACAGAAGAAGCACCGGCUAACUCCGUGCCAGCAGCCGCGGUAAUAC
rnacentral:rRNA from 1 species